rnacentral:lncRNA from 1 species
GAUUUUCAAGCCAAAAAAUUUCUUAAAACCAAGAAAGUACUUGAAUAACAACAACCACAAUCCUUAGGCAAUAGUGUUAACUAUUACAAUUAUAAUAUUUCAAAUACAAAUAAAAUCUACACUUUCAAAUAUCCAAAAGUUGCCCAGGGAAUCACACUAACUCUAGAAAAAAGUUGGCUAGUCUAGCGCCUCCAAUUCUUCAUUUCAAAUUCCUGUUAAGGAAUAACAAUUUAAAGGGAUGAGCAGAUGCUUAGUGAGGCCAAGAAACAAGCAAGCAAGUAGAGCAAGUACCAUAAUUCAACUCAAAUAGCACAUGUACAGAAUAACAACAAUGGUUUCACGUAAAGCCACAAAAGGACUAAAACAUGUUCAUUAAGAGGAUACAGGAGCUCUUAGGAGCUAAUCCACAAGCUUGCCAUAUCACGAUCUUGGAUAUCAUUUUCUUUUGUUGACACUCCGCCAACCAUACAAGUAACAAAUCUAUAGAAUUCACUUGACACGAAUCCCCAUCCACCGUUUCAUCCUCUACCGGGCCCGAAAGCCAAAUAGAAAUAGUGAUGGUAAUACUCAAGUAUACCCAAGCAAGAACAAGUAUGGUCGAUGAGAUAACACUCUAAUCGACUUAAUCAAGAUGGAGGUACUGAGAUGGGAUAAAAAGCACCUCCCACUCGGAUUGAUUAUGGUACAUGCUGCCGCUCAACACUAGGGUCAAUGAGAUAAUUUUCCAAUCAAUUUAAUCAAGAUAUAGGUACUGAGACGAGAUGAGAGGCACCUCCCACUCGGAUUGAGUGUGGUACAUGCUUCCGCUCAGCACUUACAAGUCAAGCACAAGUACAAACACAAAUACAGGUCAAUCAAAUUCAAACAAGUACAAGAUCAUUCAAGAAGAAGAGGACGAGUGUGAUAAAGUACACCCUCGCCUCAUCAAGUUCAAUAUUCAACACAUAACACAUGAUAUCAUUCAAAUCAAAAUAUCAAGAAACAUACACUUGACACUCACCAAUAGUCAAAUAAGCAAGACAAGAGAAAACUUUCACAAGUUUUCCUCGGGGUUUCCCUUGAAUUCCUCUUGAAUACCUGAGACAUACAUAAUCAACGAUUACCUAUAAUCGUUCAACCAAGGCCAAACAAUUUCCCCUUAACCCUUCACUCAAGCAUGCUCAAAUUCUUGUUGAAUUAAGAGAGAAACUCUCGUUAUUUAACCACUAAGAUAACACUCAAGAAAAGCUUCAAAAGUGUUCCAUUUGUAAGUCAAAAUAUGGCAAGAGUUUUCGAUUUAAAAGUUAGCCAAACCUCUCAAGAGUUUAACAAAACACACAUGGGAGGGAAAACCACUUUCACUUCCUUAACUCCUAAUCUUUUGCUCAAGUUUUGAUAUAUAUAAAUGAGCAUUCAAGUUUACUAAAACUUAUGAAGUCAAAACUUCACCAAAACCAUCAUUUAUUUCUUAGCAAAGAUACCAACAAAUCCUCCAAGUUUUGAACAUCAAGCAAGUGAAAUUUUUCCACAAAACUCUUGGCAUGAUGCUCCACUUUUCACCCCUUUUUAAUUCAAACUUGUUGCUCCUUUUAAAAGCACAUUCGAGGGCAAUUGAUUAGCAAGUUAUGUUGAGCAAAAUUUCACUUUAAAGCUAGAGAAAACGGGACAAAUUUCAAUCCAAGAUUCGGCCAAAACCUUCCAAAAUUUCCAGCAAACAAGGUUUAAGAAAAACUCCUCAUUUCACUUUUAAAAUGCAAAGUUAUCAACUUGAGUGAACCAUGAGAGUUCACCACUAAAAACACAUUUAAAAGGCCUAAUAACUUUCAAGAUUUAAACCACUAGUUCUUGAUCCAAAACGUCAAGUUUUCUUAUUCAAGUCAAGAGAAAACUCAUAUACAUAAUAAAUCCAUAAUCCAAGUGUGAAAUGGAGUGCAAGUAAUCAAGAAAGUUAGGUUUAAAAACCAAAAAAUGUUUCCAAGACCCUUCCAAGUUUUUUGUCAUUUCAUAAGAAAAAUUCCAAUUUUUGUAAUGCUUUUUGAAAAGUCAUAACUUGAGUUUCAUAAGCCCAAAAAUCAUAAAUCUUAUACCAUUAGAAAAUAGACUCAAACGACUGCAACUCUCUAGAAGACACCUUCAUAAAAUUCAGACCCAUAAAUUAGUCAAAUCUCAGUCUCAAUUCACUGCUUAACUAAGUGCAAAAACAGGACAGUCUUGAAUUUUCAGCCCAUUUUGAAAUUUUACUGGUAUUUAUUGAAAGUGAACCAAACCAUGAAUUUUACACGGUUAAAAGAGCCGAGAGUUUAGUUUCAAAUGCAAUAAACGGAACUCAAUUCAGAUUUUUUUUCACCAAGAUAUAACAGAUUUUUCAAAACUGCUCAAAGUCUCCUACGGGAAAAAAUUUUCAGCAAUCCUUGACUCAACCUUCCCAUUUAACCUCAUGAUUUUGGUUCAAAUCUAACUCACAAUCAAAAUUUAAUGUCCAACAUAGUUUGUGGAGUAAGAUUUUCCCAAAAUUUCUUGAAAAUAAGGGCUAACAGCACUCAAAAGUUUCGGCCAUCAAGAAGCUUUCAAAACAGAAUUUUUUUCACCAAAAUUUGCAGCAAAAUCCAAUCAAGAUUCAAACUUUCUAAGAAAUAUACACACAAGCCACAAUAUCAAGUUUUUAAACACCAAAAUCUACCAUAAACAUUCAUCAUAAAAGCACAAGAAUAAACCUCAAGUCAUCUACCUAACUUGCCUUGAAAAUAUAAGGAAUUUUCCUCAAAUCAUCUACCUAAAUCAAGGUUUCAAGAAAACCCAUCAACAACCCAUCAAACAUUCAAUUUUUCUAACUACAAAUCUACUAGAAACUUGAAGGAAAAAGAGGGUUUCAAACCAAUACCUUUCCUAGCAAUUUCAAUCAAGCGACAAGUCCAAAUUUCCUCCAAGAGUUGCUCCCAAGCAAGACUUUCUUCCAAACUCAAGCAAGAUUCCAAGAAUCAUCCAAAGUUGGGGAAGAUUUGAAGCAAAAAUGGAGGAAAAAAAGUUGAGCUUUUCUUCUCUUUUAU